rnacentral:rRNA from 1 species
UACAGAGGGGGCAAGCGUUGUUCGGAAUUACUGGGCGUAAAGGGCGCGUAGGCGGCCUGUUAAGUCGAACGUGAAAUCCCCGGGCUCAACCCGGGAACUGCGUCCGAUACUGGCAGGCUUGAAUCCGGGAGAGGGAUGCGGAAUUCCAGGUGUAGCGGUGGAAAUGCGUAGAUAUCUGGAGGAACACCGGUGGCGAAGGCGGCGAUCCUGGACCAGCACUGACACUGAGGCACGAAAGCGUGGGGAGCAAACAGG